rnacentral:rRNA from 1 species
UACAGAAGGUGCGAGCGUUAUUCAUAGUUACUGGGCGUAAAGGGUAUGUAGGUGGAGCAGCAAAUUUUUGUUCAAAAUCCUGGAGUUGUAACUUCAGAGCCAGGCUUUUUAGAUUACUGUUCUUCGAGUUAAUAACGGGUCGGAGGAACUUCUAGCGAAAAAGGUAAAAAUUUUUAACAAUUUCUAGAAGGAAACAACCAAAAGGCAA